AUCAUGACUGCUGGGCCAUAUGGUAAGAGUAUGUUUAGUUUUAUGAGAAACUGCCAAACUCUUUUCCAAAGUAGCUGUACCAUUUUGCAUUCCCAUGAGCAAU
rnacentral:pre_miRNA from 1 species